GGCCCCAUCGUCUAGCGGCCUAGGACACCGGGUUUUCAACCCGGCAACACGGGUUCGAUUCCCGUUGGGGUCA
rnacentral:tRNA from 1 species